GACGUAGGGCGCGAGCGUUGUCCGGAUUUAUUGGGCGUAAAGAGCUCGUAGGCGGCUCGUUGCGUCGGCUGUGAAAACCCGCAGCUCAACUGUGGGCUUGCAGCUGAUACGGGCGGGCUGGGAUUCGGUAGGGGAGACUGGAAUUCCUGGUGUAGCGGUGAAAUGCGCAGAUAUCAGGAGGAACACCGGUGGCGAAGGCGGGUCACUGGGCCGCAACUGACGCUGAGGAGCGAAAGCAUGGGGAGCGAACAGG
rnacentral:rRNA from 1 species